GGCUCCGUAGUUCAGUGAAUAGAACGUCAGAUUCCGGUUCUGAAAGUCGCGCGUUUGAGUCGCGCCGGGGUCAC
rnacentral:tRNA from 1 species